CCUUAACCUGCUAAAUAGUUGCGUUGACUUAGGGUCGAUUUGCUAUCUUCUUAGAGGGACUUCUGCCGCUAGGCAGAGGAAGUUUGAGGCAAUAACAGGUCUGUGAUGCCCUUAGAUGUUCUGGGCUGCACGCGCGCUACACUGACGAAGCCAGCGAGUAUUUUUCCUUGGCCGGAAGGUCUGGGUAAUCUUGUGAAACUUCGUCGUGCUGGGGAUAGACCAUUGCAAUUAUUGGUCUUCAACGAGGAAUUCCUAGUAAGCGUGAGUCAUCAGCUCGCGUUGAUUACGUCCCUGCCCUUUGUACACACCGCCCGUCGCUACUACCGAUUGAACGUGUUAGUGAGACCUUUGGAUUGACAGUUUUUUCCGCAAGGUGAAAACAGUCGAGAAGCUCGUCUAACUUGCACGUUUAGAGGAAGUAAAAGUCG
rnacentral:rRNA from 1 species